rnacentral:rRNA from 1 species
UACGUAGGGUGCGAGCUUUAAUCGGAAUUACUGGGCGUAAAGCGUGCGUAGGCGGUUCGUUAAGUUCGUUGUGAAAGCCCCGGGCUCAACCUGGGAAUGGCAAUGGAAACUGGCGGGCUGGAGUAUGGCAGAGGGGGGUGGAAUUCCGCGUGUAGCAGUGAAAUGCGUAGAGAUGCGGAGGAACACCGAUGGCGAAGGCAGCCCCCUGGGCCAAUACUGACGCUGAAGCGCGAAAGCUAGGGGAGCGAACGGG